rnacentral:lncRNA from 1 species
UGACCCACGCAGACUCCCAGGUGGUAGCUGGGCCAGUAGAUAUUUGACCCUGGAACUCUGGCAGGUGGUCAAUGCUGAAGUCAUCCAGGGGAGAGUCAUCGGAGUAUUAUGACAUCUGAAUACGUGUAGCACUGACAGAUCACUUGGGGUAAGUAUACAGUAGGCUCCAGUGAGACUCACUGUAUGCAGAUGAAACAUUUAAAAUGGUCCAAAGAGAUUCGAUACAUAUAGAGUC